rnacentral:rRNA from 1 species
GACGAACGCUGGCGGCGUGCUUAACACAUGCAAGUCGAACGGAAAGGCCCUGCUUUUGUGGGGUUCUCGAGUGGCGAACGGGUGAGUAACACGUGAGUAACCUGCCCUUUACUUUGGGAUAACUUCUGGAAACUGGGGCUAAUACCGGAUAGGAGCUCCUGCUGCAUGGUGGGGGUUGGAAAGUUUCGGCGGUUGGGGAUGGACUCGCGGCUUAUCAGCUUGUUGGUGGGGUAGUGGCUUACCAAGGCUUUGACGGGUAGCCGGCCUGAGAGGGUGACCGGCAACAUUGGGACUGAGAUACGGACCAGAAUCCUACGGGAGGCAGCAGUGGGGAAUAUUGCACAAUGGGCGGAAGCCUGAGGCAGCAACGCCGCGAGCGGGAUGACGGCCUUCGGGGUGUAAACAGCUGUCGCCUGUGACGAAGAGUGAGUGACGGUAAUGGGUAAAGAAGCACCGGCUAACUACGUG